UGACCUCAUUGGGGUAGGACAACCCGCUAGACUUAAGCAUAUCAAUAAGCGGAGGA
rnacentral:rRNA from 1 species